GAAGCAGACUCUACCACAGCACUUCUCUGGUUUUCAUUCUUAACUUGAUUCAUUUUUACAUAAGCAGUUCUCUUCUGACUGUUGAACAGACCUGAGCCGCCUCUGAGCGUAGACAUCAACGCUGUUUAAGGCAGAGAUCUCGCCGAGGGAUAAGGGAACUGCCUUUAGCCGCCUAUUACACAUCUGCCGAGCCCCGUUCACUAACCCUUAGAAUGUCAUCGUGAGUCCGGCCGUUAGGAAUUAAUGCUUUCGGUUUUGAUUUCUAGUCUACCUCAGGACAUAGGAGCCGGAGAACGCAAACCUCCCGGCUCAGAAGAUGGCGGCGGAGCACAAGAUUGGCAGGAGGGACGUCCCGUCCCGCGCGAGCGACCGCCGGCGCCUUUGUGUGUCCGUUUCGCAGGAAAUGGCUUCCGAGUAUGUGAGGAGAUCGGCUUGGCUGUAGCGUGGUCGUGAGUUCCGUGUGUGUACAGACGUUUAUGGGACUAGGCUGCUAGUAUGAGAAAAGACGAAAGCUUUUUAUUAGCCCCGGUAGCUCUCAGUAGUAACAGACCGUUUUCCAGCGAGCGGUUACAGACUUGGGGUAAGUGUGGAUAUGUGUUUGGCGGGAGUUUAUACACAAGAAAGCCCCUACUUGGCUCAUGUCUUGUUCUGAGUUCGUUCACAGUGAGGAUAAUAUUGUAGAGGUGCGGGAAAGUUGUGUGCUUCCCAUUUAUUGUAUAAUCUUCAGUAAAUUUUAAGUAAUGUCUUAUCCCUGUAAACUGGGUGUUGUGAUGCGCUUUGGUGUAAACCAGCAAUUUUCAUGAAGUGACUUAGUGUGGUGUGCUAGUGGUGUAGCUGUAGUUUCUCUCUUAAAGGCUUAAAAUCUGAAAUUUUGGGCAAUUUUAUCUGCUGAAGCAGACAAAAGCCACUUCCACGUGUGGUGAAAUUAGACUCAUAAUAGAUAACUUCCAGCUCAGUGGAUUUUAAAGCAUUUACAAAACUUUUUUUUUUUUUUUUUUUGUGCUGCUAGAGAUACAGCAGUGAAAUCACAGUACUCUGGGAUAGCACACUUGUGCAAAGAGUUACCCUGUCUUUGGAACUGCAGGGAAAACAGGGGCAGAAAGUAAUCACCUACACUAGAAUUUGAUCAUGUGCUAAGUGACUGUUCUUUGUUCUGAAAAAAAAUAGCUGAAUUCUUACUGAAAUUGUGUGGUUAGGCUGUCACUUUGAUAUUAAUCAUUGAAGGGUAUCGCACUAUCCCUGCUGUUAAGAUGUAGCAUUGGAUAGGUGAUGAUUCAGAAGAUAACCAGAUACCUACCGUGAAUCAAUAUGUACACUUUCUCCUUGGAUCUGUUCCAUAUAAACAUGUUAAAGACUUGUAAAGUCUAAUAGAAGAGGUUUAAGCAGAUGGUAUAGCUGCAGGCUUAUGAAAGAUUUUUUUGGUUGGUUGGUUAGGUUUUUUUGGUUUUGUUUUUCCCCAAAACCAUAAAAUGGUUUGGGUUAGAAAGGAUCUUAAGAUCAUCUAGUUCCAACCUCCUGCCAUGGGCAGGGACACCUCACACUAGACCGUGUCACCCAGUGCUCUGUCCAACCUGGCACUGGAACACUGCCAGGGAUGGAGCAUUUACACUUCUUUGGGCAACCUGAAUAAAUGGUUGAGUGAAUGAUGUACCAGUUUAACACAGCCACUACUUAAGCGACCAAUAUACUCUCUUGUUCACUUCUCCACUUAUUCCUUAAUUUAUCAAAAUUUUAUAUGCUUAUUAUACAGUUUCCAUAUUUUUGUAGGCAGUGUUUAUGAGUUGUAUGCAAGUGUUUUCAUUCUUUCCCGGUUUCAAAGCUAAAGUACAACAUUGUCUUCAUUGGUAAGUUCUCAUGUAAACUGAAACUGUAAACAAAUAUAAUGUAAAACAUAGAGCAUACCAGUAAAGUUAGAUGUGAUUGGGAAGAGAUGGUCCUAUAUGUUUCAAUUUAGAGAGUGUUUCUUAUAAAUCUCUGGUUUGGACAUGUUAAUCUUGAUAUGCUUUCAUAACAGGUUUGAUCUAUUUGAUUUUGUAGAUUCUCCUAGUUAUAGAAAACAAAAAAAAUUUUAAUAAUUUAUGCCUCUUAAAAUAUGAACUUUUAUGCUGUAUGUCUCAAAAUCAGACUUGGUAUGGUCAGGGUGAGUGCAUUCCAUAUGUAUAUAUAAACGGCAUCACUAGUUUUUCUUGUUAUGUGUUGGUGUUGCUUUCAUUAUUAUUAAAAGGCUAAGACACUAAGGGAA